rnacentral:lncRNA from 1 species
CUACUGCUACUACUGCUGCUGCUACUACUGCUGCUACUACUACUACUACUACUACUACUACUACUACUACUACUACUGCUACUACUACUACUACUGCUACUACUACUGCUACUACUACUACUACUGCUACUACUACUGCUACUACUGCUACUACUACUACUACUACUACUACUGCUACUACUACUGCUACUGCUACUACUACUGCCCCUGUCUGCCUCUACAUAGGCUACAUCUAAUCUUCUCCAGCUCUCCUAUCUAUAUAGGACUUCUUAACCCUUAGCAAGCAUUUUAGACAACAGUUGAUAUAAUAUUAUACUAUUUAGCCUUACAAGACCUUGCUUAGUCUUAAUAUGUUGUUUACACUGCAUGUAUAAUAACAAUGUUAUCCCCUAUUCUGCCUUAUUUAUUAUCGUGAUAUUUAUGUAUUUAUGUAUAGGUCUCACGUCACUUGGCAUUAUGUUUGCAACAUUUUAGUCUUCUGAUUGGUUGUCGAUGCAGUGGAAGCCAAGUGUGGAGUAUUAUGGCGUUUCAGGAGUAGGUCCGUAUGUAUCUAAUUAUGUAAAGCUGUACGUGAAUGUAAGCCAGGCACUAUGGGGCUUUGGACUAUGAGGUAUGAAACAUAUUUUCAUACAGAGAAGGGAAUUUUUUUGUUGUCUUUCCUGACCUGUAUGUAUGCUUUCUUUUGAAAACAAUGGACGAUUUACCUUUUGUAUAUUAAGGUUUUUAUUACCCGUUUUGGGAAAGCUCACCUGUAAAUAGGUUUUUGUUUUAAUUUUGUUCAUGUUGUUUUUCCAAUGUCUUUUUGCAUGUGGAAGCAGUGUUGUUGAUUGAGGAACGAUAAGUCACAAGUAGUGCACAGAGGAACGAUAAGUCAAAAGUAGUGCACAGAGGAACGAUAAGUCAGAAGUAGUGCACAGAGGAACGAUAAGUCAGAAGUAGUGCACAGAGGAACGAUAAGUCAGAAGUAGUGCACAGAGGAACGAUAAGUCAGAAGUAGUGCACAGAGGAACGAUAAGUCAGAAGUAGUGCACAGAGGAUUUGUUGACUUAAAAUUGUGGUCGAUUUCUUUCAAUCUGGGUCUUUUUACAGGAAUAAAGUAUAUUUUCACAUAACAAGGGGAUUUUGUGUUUGACUUUGUGUUACUUUGACUGACCGAAAUGCUAAUGGAGGUAGAAUUUAAUAGAAAAGACAAAAAAACAAACAUUUUAUUUAAUUAUUUAAUGAAGACAAAUUUGGCAAUACACUCACCAAUUAUACAGACUUAUCAAUAUACAUCAUACGUUUCUAAAUGAAAAGCAGAGAAUGACACCACAUAGAAUGAUAAUAGCUAUUUUACAGGACCAGACCAUAUACACUUCAACAAAUUUAGUCUUUCCAUAUCUAUAAAGUUUGAGACAUGUAAAACAUUUCCAUAUAUAGCUUGAGACAUUUAAAACAUUUCCCAUAUCUAUAGUUUGAGGCAUUUAAAACAUUUCCCAUAUCUAUAGUUUGAGGCAUUUAAAACAUUUCCCAUAUCUAUAGUUUGAGACAUUUAAAACAUUUCCCAUAUCUAUAGUUUGAGACGUAAAUUAAUUCUAUAUCUAUAGGUUGAGACAUUUAAAACAUUUCCCAUAUGUAUAGUUUGAGGCAUUUAAAACAUUUCCCAUAUCUAUAGUUUGAGGCAUUUAAAACAUUUCCCAUAUCUAUAGGUUGAGACAUAAAUAAUUUCCAGUUCACAAGUUUAAUACACAAAACGCAUUCAGUACCAGUCAUUGCUAAAAAGGCUAAGCAUGAGGUCUUUCCAGCUUUGUUCAGUGUUGGGUGGCGUGCACAGCCCAUGUGAACUGUAGUCGCUGACACACUGCGCUGUGAACGCCACCACUAUGUGAAACAAUGCAGGUUCCUCUUUUUCUCAUUUCCUGAAUGUGAACAGUCUCUCCACUGCAGACGCCAUUUUGGCUCCUCUGUCUUUGUCACCGUAGCCAACAGUACACUCAUCCAUAAAGUAGGAAACACUACACUGUGGCGAGGAGUUUAGUAGUGCUUUCUACUUUAUGGAUGACUGCACUGUACUUCCUCCAAUGUCUUCUUUCCUGGUCCAGCUUCUUUCGUUUCUUCUUGUGCACCUGCCUCAAAACUGGUGGUCAUAUCCAGAUGCACACAACUGCUCUCACUAACUAACCACACCCAGCCACCGUCACACACACAGUCACACACACACACACACACACACACACACACACACACACUCCUAAACACACACACACAGUUUAAUAAAGAGCAACUAUAACAUGUACAAUUGUAAGUUAUGAGGAAUGAUGUAGUUAGUUUCACUUAUUUUUGAGACAAUUGAAUGCACAGGUUCUUAAGUCUAAAGAGUUUUAGCAUUGAACAAAGGUAUUAGAAAUGAAGCGGGGUUAAAAAAAAAAAAAAACUCUUCCCCUUCUUUCAAACUGAAACUGUGCCCAGAGCCAGUUUCUCUAUAUGUGGUCUGAACAGAGCAACGUAAUUUUACUGAUCUAAGAUCAGUCUACUGAGGCGUUAUCUGGUGGAAGCCAUUUUGUCUUGAUUGAGUGAGUAAGCUUUUUUUCACUCAAGACAGGUGACGUAAAAGCGAUUUUUGGUCAUAGUAACCAACUUUUCAUUCGCUUAAAAUCUAAAGACAAUGCAAAACUCUACAAAAUGUACCGAAAUUACUAUCCCAGUUUCCAUUUUACAAAUGUUUUAAAUUCCAAGCGAACAUUUUCUGUGUUUUAUUCUUGUUAAUUAAAUGAAUGUCGAUUUCACACCAUCUCUAUAUAGAUAUACACUGCCGUAGAGAGUGGAUGGACUAGUAACAAUGGCCCCCAUUAGAAUUCUUUCUCCCCCCUAACUAAAUUUAAACAUUUCAAUUCUAUAUCCUAACAAAAUAACAUAAUAGCGUUUUACGUAAUAAAAUAAGUUCAUACUAUACCUGACUGAAGGCUCCUUUGUCUCUGUAAAAAAGCAAAGAGCUUGUCUAGUGGUCUCAGCGCCCAGUGUCUUCUUCCCUCGGUUCUAGAAGAAGUGGCUGAAGAAGAAGAAGUUGUCUCCUUUUUAACCCCCCUCAGCCCACGUGGUACAAACCACAGGAAGAAGUCUAACAGUCACAGCCGCUCUCUCUCUUUCUUUCUUUCGCUCUUGCAGGUGAAGUUUAUCACGCCUAACAGGUCC